GGAUUUCACACAGGUGUUGCAUGGCUGUCGUCAGCUCGUGUCGUGAGAUGUUGGGUUAAGUCCCGCAACGAGCGUAACCCUCAUCCUUAGUUGCCAUCAGGUAAUGCUGAGCACUUUAAGGAAACUGCUAGUGAUAAACUGGAGGAAGGUGGGGAUGAUGUCAAGUCAUCAUGGCCCUUAUGGAGUGGGCUACACACGUGCUACAAUGGUGGCUACAAUGGGCUGCAAAGUCGCGAGGCCAAGCUAAUCCCUUAAAAGCCAUCUCAGUUCGGAUUGUACUCUGCAACUCGAGUGCAUGAAGUUGGAAUCGCUAGUAAUCGUGGAUCAGCAUGCCACGGUGAAUACGUUCUCGGGUCUUGUACACACUGCCCGUCACGCCAUGGGAAUUGGUUUCACUCGAAGCUAAUGACCUAACCGCAAGGAGGGAGUUAUUUAAAGUGGGAUCAGUGACUGGGGUGAAGUCGUAACAAGGUAAGCGUACUACA
rnacentral:rRNA from 1 species